UCCACAUCUCAGCAUCAGAUGUCAUUACGCCCUCUGACCUGGAUUCCGCGCUGACCCCUUUGAAUAGUGGGAUCAAAGACGCGACAGAGAGCAGAAUACUUGUUCCGAGGAACCACGAGACUCCACCGUUAGAUAUCUGAGAAAAAAGGUCUUGGCCCUUGGACAGUUCCACUGCCAUUGCAGCGACAAAGCCUAUCAUGGCAAGCCUGCCAUUGAUCCUCUCUGGUGCGGGUCCGCUAAAUGCGAACAAAUCAAGGAAGUUUGUGCUGACCUGUUAAUCACAGUCAUACGGGCGUUUACAUUAGAAGUGGAAGCAUAAAUGCAAUCACAAAGUCCUUGCUCUACUUAAAUUGUUAAAAUUAAACAUUUCCGAAAUAAAUCCUGUACCUUUGGCUCAGGAGUAGAACCUGACUCUGCUAUCUUCUUGAUCUGGUCACCCUGCAAAUUGAUUCAAAUGUUAACACAAUUAAUCCUAAGAACCAUCACCCAAAGUAUACACACAGGAAGUCGAAAUAGAUUCCAAACUCACCAGCUUGGCCUUGCACUGCACCCGUUUGCUAGCACUGCCACGUAGUCGUGGCACAUACGUCGCAGAAAACAAGUUGCUCACUCGAGACCGGUUUUUCACCAGGCUACUGGCUACUGGAGUUGCAAGGACGGUCUGCAUGACUGUUGAUGUGGCCAUCACUUAAUUAGAAGAAUGUUUAUCACUCGAGCUGUGAUUAAGAAACUUAAUCAAUAUCUAAUCUGUGAAAGCUAUUCUAAUGCUAGAGGCAACGUUCGUAAGGGAUAUCACUACCAGUGAGUUGAAGCUGGAGCUGUUUGCUUUGUAAUGAUAAUUAAUGUAUCUGAUAAUGGUUUGGUAGGCUGUUAUAUAGCCGAUGGGGCAAGAGAGGAGAGGGCGUUUUGCUCCCACGUCAUCUAUAUCUAAUUAAAAAGCUGAUUGGAUCACGUGGCUUCGGGUGUCCUCCACAUGGUCAAGUGGGUUACGUGGCCUCCUCACAGUCACUAGUGGACCCCACCCCAUUUAAGAAUCUGAGGCCAUUGUUGUUCUAGGUUUUUCAGCUGAGCAGCGACCACGGCAUAGUAAUCGAACUGGACUCAGCCACGAUUUUACCGCAUUAAUUUGACACGUUCAAAAUAACACAGCUAAAGUAAAUCGUACUAAUGUAUAAAAUUUUUGCAAUUGGCCGACAUGUUUUUUUUCUUAAAUAUCUUUUUUUAACAUGUGGUUGAUGAUAGAUUGUGUACUUUUAUUGAAUUUUUAUUAAUAUCUAUUGUAUAUUGAUAUUUCACGUCAAGUUUAUUACAACUAAAUGUUUUUUUAGUAAUUCAAAAAUAAUGUUAAAUAAAUUCUAUAAUUAAAAUUUCAAAUAUUUACAUCACAUUAUAACUCAAUCAGAAACUCGAUAAAAAUCAUGUGCAAACCCUCAAUUUUAUUUUAUUUUUUUGCAUUGAUUUAUUUAUUUUUUAGACAAAUCAACUUAUUUAAUUCAUCAUUUUAAAAAAAAAAAUUCUUUUAAAUUUUAGCAAGUCAUUUAACAUUAAUUACUCUAUUAUCUAAUGUCAAUUUACAAUUUAUAUUCUAUAGAUUUGUAAAUGGAGAAAUAUCAAUUUUUUAUUCACAUCUCUCUCCAUAUAUUUGAAUUGAUUAUAGAUUUAUUUCCCAUUAAAACUUCUAAUGAGAAAAAAAAACAAAAAAAAAACACAAAAUAAUGCAUCUUAUGUUUAAUCAAGACACAAAACUCAACAACAAGAAUAUAGAGAGAAAUGACAUUAAUAUUUAAAAUAAAUAGAUAAAUAUUUUGAAGGUAUUUUAUUGUCAUUGCACGGGAGGACCCGGUUUUUUCAGAAGGCUACAAGAUAGCAUUUUCAUAACGUUGCAUUAAAGAAAAUUAUUCAAUUAUUAAUUAGUUACAUGUUUCAAAUUUAAGAUGAUAACUUUGAAUCUAAUUGCAUUUUUAUGUGACCUUCCACCUAAUUUCUUUCCCCUUAUGGAUUCCGAAUCUAAGAAAAGCCUAGACUAUUAGUUGUACUCGAUUGACCACUUCACAAAAUUGCGACAAAAUCCAAAACAAUUUAUGCUUUCCAUUGGUCAUGGUUAUGGCUCUCGGUAAGAGUUGCUUCUACAUUAGAUUUCCACAAGUUCAUUUAUUAAAAAAAGAUCUUUAUAGUUUUUUUGCACUGAUUUCAUUGAACAAGAAGAUAUAUUUUACUUUGUGGAGAACAAUUUAAAAGUAUCGUUUUCGGCGAGUAAAUUAAACAAAUAGAUGGUGAGUAUAAAGCUGGGGAGAAAAUGAUAGGAAUGGAAAAUCAAACCCAAUUAAUUUGCUAAUAUAGAAGGGAAUUUUGUUCGAUCUAAUUUGACAUUAUCAGUAUCAUUUAAACGAUAAUCAAAGGAUCAUGCUUGCAGUCGUUGCUAAUAAAGAAGGAGAAAGAUACAAUGUUAUAACAAGACGUUUAAUAAAACUAACAUGAUUUAUGUCAAAACAGAGAGCACAAAAAAAGGAGACAAUAAAAGGCAGACGAAGUAAAGGAAAAAAAAAAAAGUGUUUUGAGAGAGAAAGAGUGGUAGCAUGGGUUGGUGCUAGGGUUGAGAAAGGGCAAAUAGGAGUAAAUUAAUGCUAUAUUUUUUUCAAAUUUAUAAAAUCAAUCCGAGUUUAUUGAUUUUGACUGAGUUUAUUGAGUCAAAUUUAAUUUUACAAGUUUUCAAGUUUUUAGUUUGAUUUUGCAUAUUUGAUAAAUGUUGACUCGUAAAAUCGUAUGAUUUUACGAGUUAACUCAUGGUGUUAAUAAAAUUGCUUAUGAUUCUUUCGUAUUUUAUAUUUGUUUUUUAUGUUUUAAAUACUUGAUAAUUAAAAUUGUAAGUUUUAUAAAAUUUUAAGCAAAAGUAAGUUUGUGAUUUAUAACACAAUGUAUGUAUUUUAUGUAAAAUCAUUUUUUAAAGAGAAAAUUAUCCUGAGUAUCCUAUAGUUUACUUAAUUUAACACUUUGUUUUUAUUAUUUUAUGAAUUACAUAAAAUAUCAUCCAUCAAUUAAAAAGUUUAAAUCAAUUGAAAUGAUGAAAUUAACCUUGUAUAUAUUAUUUUAUAAAAACAAUUAAACAACAAUGUGAACCUUCUUUUAGACUGGCUAUAACAAACUCAUUUAAUUCAAGGUUAAACCUUAUUUUAAUUGUCUUCCAUGCAACGGAUCUAGGGUUGGUGACUAAAAUAACCAUAAUAUUGCUUUGCUUUCUUCUCUUCUCUUUGAGCUUCUCCUUCCCAUUCUCUUCUUUUUUUCGCCUUCAUCAACUCCCCUUUCACUUGCCUCCAAUUCUUAUAAUUCCAAUUCCAUGGAUUUCAAUUCCAUUAAUUUCCCAUGAAAUUCUUUUACAAAGUAUUUAUCAUUAUUUUUUCUCUCAAGAAAUCAUCAAUUCACUUUAAUUUCUCUCGAAUCCUACAUCCAAGAAACAUAAAAGAACCCAAUUAUGAGAAUCAGAUACUGAGUCGACCCAUAAAGACAAAGACAAAGGCCAUAAACUCACAAAUUAACUCAAUCAGUUGAACUAAGUUUCUUUUCAUCUUGACCCUUUCAAAACCACCUGUAGACUAAGCUAUUCAAUGUUUGAAUGAUUGUUUGGCUUACUUGAACUAUUACGAGAGUGUCAUCACCUAAAUGGAACAUUGAUAAAUCUCUUAGCGGAGCUCAGGCUAGGCAUAAUUUUAUAUUGGCCGUCAGGUCAAAUUACAUUAAAAUAAUUGAUAGAUUUGGGGUUAGUAAAUGAGUGACUCAGUUUUAUACCAAUCAACUGCGUUUUAUUUUAAGCAACAUUUUUUUGCUUUUAGGUCGAGUUUCCUUUUUCUACCGAGCUUGAAUUUGUGUCCAAUGAUAUUGAGGCUUUUAUUGAAUUUCUAAUUUAUUAUGGUAUAAUAGAUCGUUCAGAAUCAAAAUACUCUCUUCAAAAUUAAAAAUUUAGCUAGAUAAUGUGUGGUUUUUUUUUUUUUUUGCAUGUUUAUUUCCAACUUUUAGCCACUAUUUGGUUGUUAGGUUUUUGUUGAUUGUGAUUAAAGUUGGUUUUGAUUUUGAAAUAAUUUUAGCUUAUGUUGUCCAUGGAAGGACAACAAUAAUGAAGCAUGAAAGUGAAUAAAACCUAAAUUUCCAAAAGGUUUAUGGUUUGUUUGGGCCCCAAGAGUUGCAUUGUGAAUUUUAUGGAAUGGAAGUGCUUAAUAAUAAUUUGGCAAAAUAAAAAUGAAUUGAUUAGAUUUUGUAGGCAAGCUAAUGUAAUCUCCACAUAUUUUUCUUAUAAUGGCUAUUGAGUAGUUAAAGAAUUUAUGACAGUAACUUUUAGUGAUAUUUUUAUUCAUUUGAUACAUUACGGAUUCUCUAGUUAUUAAUUAAAAUAUAAUAGUAAACUUGUAAAUACUUAAUUUUUUUUGUUGAUUUUUUCUUAAUGCCAUAUAAAGUAUAGUGAACUUAUAAAGUUCACAAAGUUUUCUAUAAUUUUCAAAAAAAUAAAGGCAUAAUAUAAAAUUGAGUAAACUUCUGGAUGAUUAGGUGAUUUCUCUUUUUUAAAUAAAAUAACAUCAAAUUGAAAAUUUUUAAUUAUUGUUUUAGUUUUUUAUAUUUUCAUAUUAAAAACUUAAUAUUAUUUGAAAUGUCAUCAAUUAAUGAUUUUACCCAUAGUUAUUAAACCUGGAGCGGUGCGUUUGGUUGACUUGGGACCCGGUCGACCUGGUAGCUAGACCGAUUCGGGUAAGUUAAAAGACCAGACUAAGCAAAACCUGGCAAAACCAGGUAGAGAUCCUUUUUUUUUUUCAAAUGUGUUUUUUCAUCUAACCAAAGACCUCUUUUUUAUAUACAUUUUUAGUUGGAUAUUAACCCUUUUCAAAGUUCACUAUAUAAAUAUUAGAAAGAUUUUUUUAUUUUAUUAAUGUUGGAUUUAAAGCCCUUUAAUAUAUAUACUUUAUGUUCACAAGAAAAAAUUAUUUUUCAAUGUGGGGUAAAAAAAACCUUUUGAAGUGAUCUUUUAAACCUUAUUAUUUAUAACAUGUAUAACCUAUAUUUAUAUCGAUUGUUUUUUAAUUAUUUCAUAUGAAAUAUUAAAACUUCAAAUAUUUUUUUUUCAUUUUUCCGGGUUGACCUGAGUCGACCCGCGUAACUCGGGUCAACCCGCUUAACCCAGGACUAGGAUCCAUGGUCAGGUCAAUUUUCGAGUUAAGUUUUGUAACUAUGAUUUUACCUCUUCAGUAAUAUUUUAAAAAUAAUUUUCAAAUGCAAUGUAAUCAUAUUAUCAAAAGGAAAAUAAAUGUAUAAUUGAAAUAGUGACCUUAUAAUUCAGACGAAAAAAAGGUUAAAUCUAGUAAUUAUUUAAAUUGUUUAAAUAUUAUUCAAACUGUACUACCACCACUUAUUCUAUACAACUAGGAUGAUUUAAAACAUUUGUAAAACCACUCUUGUAUUGGCAUACAUUUAUGUUCAUAGAGAUGAACUUAGAAUUUGUUGACAGAAAAGAUCAAAAUGCACAGCCUUGUUGUCGGGUGGCUAUUACAUAAAAAUAACUUCAAAAAUAAUAUAAGUUCAAGGAUGAUUUUGUAAACAUCUCAAACUUUGAGGGCCAGUGCCACCCUUAGCCGCCCCCUAGAUUUAAGAUUUAUCUCUCCACGUGCAAGUGUUUAUUAGGCCUUUUGGCACAUUAUAUAACAUGCAUUUUAUAGGAUGUCUUGGUAUGACAUCUGAUGUCUCAUUAUUUCAACAUCAAAUGUACAAUGUUAAUUUUAACUUUUUUCUCUUUUUAAUUAAUUUAAUUAAAUACCUAAUCUUUAAAUUAACAGUGUCAACUAAAUUGAAUCUCGUAUCUUCAGUGAAAUCCACUACGGCGAAUCAAAAUGCAAAAAGGAAAAAGAAAAAGAAAAAAAAAAGAGGUUUAAAUUUGGCUGCUUUCGUUCUUACUACGCUUAUGCAUGCAGAGUUCUUUCGUAAGCAAAUAAUAAAACUGAAAACAACACAAGGAGGUUUAUGGAGACAGCUACCUGCUGACAUGCUUGUUUGCUGCGGUUACUCUUGAUGCUUCGAAGGAAGUGAUAAUUUUAGACUUUAUUUUGAUUUCUCUUCCUCCUAAAUAUCUCUAUCUUUGUUGACCUGUAGCGGGUGCGGUAUAAUAUAUCUCCUAAAUAAACUUUUUUUGUAAGUGGCCUAAACUGGAUGGGAUUUGCAUUUCAAUCUACCAUUUUCAUAAAGCGUAGUUGGUCAAACAUUUGUAAUCGGUCGCUGCAACAAAGAUCCGUGACUCGUUAGAAGUCCGAAAUAUCUUCCUAUUGAUGCACCGACGGCUUUCAAACGUGGCAUGUUCCUAGCUAGCAUAACAUAAAGAAGGAGAAGCAAAAUCUACACAAGUAUUAUUUGUAUUUUAUAUAUAUGAUUGAAAACAUAUUUUGCUACUGAAAUUACAUUGAUUCAAGUAUCCAUGUUAACAUCCAUGGCAAUAAUACAAAAAACAGGAACUACAGAAGCGUUCUACACGAGACAUACUCGGUGUAGGCCAACGCAACCAAACCCAACAUGGCAAAUCUACCGUUCCACAUCUCUGCAUCAGAUGUCAUGACGCCCUCUGACCUGGAUUCCGCGCUUACCCCUUUGAAUAGUGGGAUCAAAGACGCGACAGAGAGCAGAAUACUUGUUCCGACGAACCACGAGACUCCACCGUUAGAUAUCUGAGAGAAAAGGUCUUGGCCCUUGGACAGUUCCACUGCCAUUGCAGCGACAAAGCCUAUCAUGGCAAGCCUGCCAUUGAUCCUCUCUGGUGCGGGUCCGCUAAAUGCGAACAAAUCAAGGAAGUUUGUGCUAACCUGUUAAUCACAGUCAUACGGGCGUUUACAUUAGAAGUGGAAGCAUAAAUGCAAUCACAAAGUCCUUACUCUACUUAAAUGGUUCAAACUAAACAUUUCCGAAACAAAUCGUGCCGUAUAAUUAAUCCUGUACCUUUGGCUUAGGAGUAGAACCUGACUCUGCUAUCUUCUUGAUCUGGUCAUCCUGCAAAUUGAAUCAAAUGUUAACACAAUCCUAAGAACCAUCACCCAAAGUAUACACAGAGGAAGUCGAAAUAGAUUCCAAACUCACCAGCUUGGCCUUGCACUGCACCCGUUUGCUAGCACUGCCACGUAGUCGUGGCACAUACGUAGCAGAAAACAAGUUGCUCACUCGAGACCGGUUUUUCAGCAGACUACUGGCUACUGGAGUUGCAAGGACGGUCUGCAUGACAGUUGAUGUGGCCAUCACUUAGAACAAUGUUUAUCUGUGAAAGCUAUUCUAAUGCUAGAGGCAACGUUCGUAAGGGAUAUCAUACCAGUGAGUUGAAGCUCGAGCUAUUUGCUUUGUAAUGAUAAUUAAUGUAUCUGACAAAGGUCUGGUAGGCUGUUAUAUAGCCGAUGGGGCAAGCGAGGAGAGGGCAUUUUGCUUCCACGUCAUCUAUAUCUAAUUAAAAAGCUGAUUGGAUCACGUGGGUUCGGUUGUCCUCACAUGGUCAAUUGGGUUACGUGGCCUCCUCACAGUCACUAGUGGAUCCCCACCCCGUUUAAGAACCUGAGGCCAAUGUUGUUCUAGGUUUUCCAGCUGAGCAGCGACCACGGCAUAGUAAUCGAACUGGGCUCAGCCACGAUUUUACCGCAUUAAUUUUACACGUUCCAAAUAACACAGUUAAAUGGAAUAUAUAAUUUGUCGACAUGAUUCUUCUCUAAUGAUAUUUUAGAAGGUGAUUGAUGAUAGUUUUUGUCUUUUCACUCCUACUUCUUAUCCUAAUCUUUUCUUUGUCAACUGAGCUAAUUUCAUUCUCAUAUUUUUAUCUUUGUCUCUUUCAAUAUAUUGAAAAGUUUUUCUUUUUCUCCUCAAUUAUCUAAUAUAUUACAAAGCUUUUCUUUUCUUCUAGUUGCCUAUUAAUUUCUCACAAAAACAUUUAAAGGCAUCUUCGGAUAUUUGCUGGGAUGACACAACAUCAUUCCAAUAUCCUUUCGAAUACAAGCUAAAUAAUAUUUGAAAUGGUAAAUAUCUCAACUGAAAAUUUUCAAAUAAUAAUUGCAUUGAACUUUUCUUGAAUUCUUAUUAAUAUCUAUAUCAUGUUGCCAUCUUACAUCAAGUCUAUUGCCAUUAAUAGUUUUUUUAGAUGCCUUGUAUCUUACAAUUCAAGAAUCAAUUCAAAUCAAUUCUAAAAUUAAAAUCUCAAACAUUUACUUUUACUUCACAUUGCAACUCAAUAAGAAACUUGAUAAAAAGCAUGUGCAACCCUCAAUUUCUUUAUUAUUUUUACUUUGAUUCCUCUAUUUUUUGGAUAGAUCAACUCAUUUACUUUACUAUUUACAAGAAAUGAGUCCUUUUCAAUUUUAACAGGUCAUUUAAUAUUAAUUACUCUAUUAUUUAAUGUUAAUUUACAACUUGUAUUUUAUAGAUUUGUCAGUUAAAACAGAGAAAUACCAAAUUUUUAUUCACAUAUUUCUCCAAGUAUUUGAAUUGAUUAUAGAUUUAUUUCCCAUUGAAACUUUAAAGAGAGAAAAAAAAUUAGAGAACACAAAAGAAUGCAUCUUAUGUUUAAUCAAAACACAAAACUCAAUAGAGCAAGAACAAAGAGAGAAGUGACAUUAACAUUUAAAAUAAAUAAAUAAAUAAAUAUUUUGAUUGUUAUUUUGAAGGCAUUUCAUUGUCGUUGCAAGGGAGAACCCGAUUUCUUCAGAAGGCUACAAGAUAGCAUCUUUAUAAUGAUGCAUUAAAGAAAAUUAUUCAAUUAUUAAUUAAUUAUAUGUUUCAAAUUUAAGAUGAUAACUUUGAAUCUAAUUACAUUUUUAUGUGACCUUCUACCUAAUUUCUUUCCCCUUAUGGAUUCUAAAUAUAAGACAAGCCUAGACUAUUCGUUGUAAUCAAUUGACCACUUCACAAAGUUACGACAAAAUCCAAAACAAUUUAUGCUUUCUAUUGUUUUAGUUUUUUUAUAUUUUCAUAUUAAAAAACUUAUUAUUAUUUGAAAUGUCAUCAAUGGAUGAUUUUACUCAAUAAUAUUUUUAAAAUAAUUUUUAAAUGCAAUGUAAUCACAUUAUCAAAAGGAAGAUAAAUGUGUAAUUGGGAUAAUGAACUUAUAAUUCAGAUGAAAAAUUGUUAUAUCUAGUAAUUAUUUAAAUUGUUUAAAUAUUUUUAAACAUUAUUACUUCAGGAUGAUCAGGGUGAUUUCCCCCUUUUUAAAUCAAAUAACAACAAAUUGAAAAUUUUUAAUUAUUGCUUUAGUUUUUUCUAUAUUUUCAUAUUAAAAAACUUAAUAUUAUUUGAAAUGUCAUCAAUUGAUGAUUUUACGUCUUCAAUUAUAUUUUAAAAAUAAUUUUUAAAUGCAAUGUAGUCACAUUAUCAAAAGGAAGAUAAAUGAGUAAUUGGGAUAAUGAACUUAUAAGUCAGAUGAAAAUUUGUUAUAUCUAAUAAUUAUUUAAAUUGGUUGGAUGAUUUAAAAAAUUUGUAAAACCAUUGUUGUAUUGGCAUAUAAUUAUGUUCAUAGAGACAAAUUUAGAAUUUGUUAAUAAAAAAAACCAAAAUGCAUAGUCUUGUUGUCGGGUGGCUAUUACAUAAAAAUAACUUUAAAAAUAAAGUACAUUCAAGGAUGAUUUUGUAAACAUCUCAAACUUUGAGGAGCCAGUGCCACCCUUAGCCUCCCUCUAGAAUCAUCUCUACAUGUGCAAGUGUUUGUUAGGCCUUUUGGUACAUUAUAUAACAUGUAUUUUAUAGGAUGCCUUGGUAUAAUUGCUUUUAUCCUUGCCCUGUGAUUAUCAUUUGGAAACCUGAAAACCAUUGCUAUAUUGGUAUGCUAUCUAUUUUGAUUCUAGCCAAAUAAAUGAAUUUUUUUUCUUGUAGAUACCCUUUUCUUGGUAGAAUAUUACAUUUGCUGCCUCAUUAUUUCAUCAUCAAAUGCAAUAUCAAUUUUAACUUUUUUCUCUUUUUAACUAAUUUGAUUAAGUCUCUAGUCUUUAGAUUAUAUAAUGUCAACAAAAUUGAAUGUCAUAUCUCGCUAAACAACAUUGAAUCAUGAUUGCCAAAUUCUUUCAAAAAACAACAUGUUUUAUGAUCCAAAUCACCCAUUAUAGAUUAUGGUAUAUUUAUGUAUCGAAUCGUUGUAUGAUAUAGGGUCGGGAUCUAGAAAGACAAUGAUCCAUAUCACCCAUUAUAGAUUAUGAUAUAUUUAUGUAUUGAAUCGUUGUGAUAUGAAACCUGGAUCUAGAAAGACAAUGACCCAUAUUUUUCAAAAUAAGAAAACAAGUGAAAAAAAAAUUAAAAAAGAAAAUAGUAGUGGUAGUAUUAAACAUUAAAUAUCGAGAAUGAUACAAAACACAAAAUUAAGUGAUGGUGAUAGCUAAAAGUUAGACCCCGUUUGGGAACACGGUGCAAACCGUGUUUCCUUAAAUUUUAAAUUUUUUAUUUUGUCUAAAAUGAUUUUUUAUAUAUAUUUUUAAAUUAUUUGAUGUACUAAUGUCAAAAAUAAUUUUUAAAAAUAAAAAACUUUAUUUAAAUGCAUUUCUAAACGAAAAGUACUUUGAACCGUCAUCACUAUCAUAAUCUCAAAUAUACCCUUAAAGAGUUAAGGCAGUAUACUAAUGUUAGAAAAGAAAGCUAGACAAUAUACUAAGUUAGAGACUUGCUAUGUUGAAAUUUAAUGUUGGGCUAUAUGUUUUCUAGACCAAUACAUUAUAAUUAUAUCUACUUCAUGUUUUAAAAAUUUAGGUAACAUGCUCUUUUUAGUGGUGUCACACCUGGAUAUCGCGACGACCGAUUAAAAAUCAUCACUCGAUUGAAAUAAAAAACACAUAUCAAGCAUUUUGUUCUUUUUAGGGAAAAAAGUCUUGUUCUAGAAGAUACCACCUAGUAUUAUAGUCAUUAGGAACCCUAACUGGUCAACAAAGAUUCUAUAGUACGGGACUGGUUACCAAAAAAAAAAAGACGUUAUCACCCCUUAAGAGUCUUAUCUGAAGCAAGUUGUAUUGCUGAUUUUGUUUAAAAUUGCUAAGAGUUUGUUCUCUUUUUCCUCUUUUAUUCUUCCUUUCAUGUUCCUGACCCUGACGUCAGUGAAUAAUUCCUACGAACAUUUUCAACUCUGGUGUUGGUAAAUAUCGUGCAAAUCCAAAAAAUACGAUACUCCUGACUCUAGCGUCAAUAAAUAAUUUCGCAAAAAAUGAACUUGAAGAAGAAAUUUUCUAUGUCAUUUUUUUCUUAUUUAUCCUUUACUAUUAUCCACCCUUUUUAGAUGAAAAAAAAAAUUGCGCGACAUAUUUGCAUUUAACAAUAAUAAUCCACAGAUUGAGCACAUAGCUAAAAAAAUACAAAUACAAAGGAAAACAAAUAAAACAAAGUGUGAGGGGCCCACAAAUAAAUCAACGAAGACCUCCAAAUAUUUUUGAAAUUUUAUGUUUCAUUUGGCCAAAUAUCAAAUUAGAAUGGGUAUAAAAAUUAUGGUCAAGGCAUAAGAGUGUGUUUGGCAAAACAUACCCUUAACAAAUACAAUUUGGGCCAGCUGGGCCACAAGCCCAGACCCGGCCAACUUUUCCUUUUUAACUUUUUUUUGGGCUGGGUCUAGCCCAACCAUCGAGGCUGAUCUAAACCCAGCGGCCCGGCCCAGUUACUGGUUCAGACCAGUAACCCGACUGGUUUAAUCCUUAGCUGCAAGCGUGCGAGGGCUAUUCACGCCUCACGCACGCUACAGAUCCUAGGUAAUUAAAUAGCAAAAUGAACAGUCUUAUGAAUUAAAAUGAUAGCGGGGAAAGACAGAAGACUUACCUGGUUUGCAGAGAAUUCGCGUGAGAUUGCAGAUGCUGGACGAAGCUCCCGUCUUCAAGUUCUCUCCCGUUUCUUGUUCUUUCCUGCUCUCACUCUCUCGUCUCUUCUGUUUCUCUUUUGUUUUUGUUUUUUUUCCUCUUCUGGAUACUCUCCUUUUCUUUUCUUCCCCCUGUUCUCUCCCGUUUUUCUCCCACUGUUUUCUGCGUUUUUUCAUCUCUGUUUCCCUCCUCCCCUUCUGGCUUCUCCUUUCCCCUUUUUAUAGAGCCAGACCAUGAGAGGGAUUCUUAUCCUUAUCUUCUCUAGGAUCGUCAUCCUGUGUAGAGUGAAUCGGCUCGGUGUUCGGAUGGAACGGAAACACCAACAGUCCUGCCAUUGUUGGACUGUUGGUGGUGCUUAUCCUUGCGUCAGGGGAGAAUUUUGAGGGUGAGGGAGACCAAAACAAACCCUACGGGUUCCGUGGGUAGCUAAUGCAACCUUGAACUUAGCUUGUGUGCGGCGAUUUUUUCUUUGCAGGGGGUGCUCUCUGUUUCCAAAGGAAGAAUGUUCUCUAUUUCCAAAGGAAGAAGACAGUGAACAACAAUGACGAACGACAUCGUUUUGGACUGGAAAUGGCCAUUUCUCAACUUGGUCCUCCAAGUUUCAACAUUUUUUAAUCGGGCCCUGGAUAAAAUUUCGGUGCCUUUUACAAAAAGGUCCCUGGAACUUAAUCACUUGUAAUUUUAUCCUUAAUAAACUCAGAAAUUUAAUAUUUGUUCAACUAUAUCCCUGGUUUCAUUAAUUAAACUAAUUCUAAGCUUAAUUAAGUCCUCAAACUUAUCUAUUCUUUAAUCAAACUCCUGAUAUCAUUAAUUAAACCCAAACAAAGUUUUAUUGAACUCCAUACCAGCUAAUUUUUUUAAUUUCUUUAAAAAUUAACAUCCAAAAUCAUAAAUUAAACAUGAUUAAACCCAUCAGAGCUUUUCAUUUAUGUUGUCUUGAUCAAAAUCUUAAUUUUUCAUUCAUUUUUUUAUUUUGAAUUUUAUAUUGUUUAAAAUUGAGUUAUAAUAAGUGGACCGAGCUUUUUGGUCUCAAAUCCAUAAAUUUGUUACCAAUUGACCUACCUCAUUUGGCAAGUGUGAGAUCUAUCUUCAGUGAAAUCUACUAGGUGAAUCAAAAUCCAUAAAAAAGAAGAAAAAAAAACAGAGAAAGAGUGAUAAAACUAACUACCACACCAAACAAAUAAAGAGGUUAUGCAGGCAGUCUUUCCUAAUCAAAUAAUAAAACUGAAAACAACACAAGGAGGUUUGUGGAGACAGCUACCUGCUGAUAUGCUUGUUUGCUUGCGUGUCUGGUUUUGUAAUUACACUGUUAUGAGCAGUUAACUCCUCUUUGGUGGCUUCGAAGGAAUUGAUAAUUUUAGACUUUAUUUUGAUUUAUCAUCCUCCUACAUAUUUCUCUCUUUGUUGGCUUCGAAGAAAGAGUUCAGCUUGGCCUGUAGCGGGUGCGGUAUAAUAUAUCCUCCUAAAUAAACUCUUUUUUUUUUUUUUUAAAGCGAUUUAAAUGGCCUAAACUGGAUGGGUAUUGGAUUUCAAUCUACAUUUUCAUAAAGCGUAGUUGGUCAAACAUUUGUAAUCGGUCGCUGCAAGAAAGACCCGUGAUUCGUUAAAAGUCCGAAAUAUCUUCCUAUUGAUGCACCGACGGCUUUCAAACUUGGCAUGUUCCUAGCUAGCAUAACAUAAAGAAGGAGAAGCAAAAUCUACACAAGUAUCAUUUGUAACUUGUAUAAAUGAUUGAAAAUUGAUCUUACAUAUUUCGCUACUGAAAUUACAUUAAUUCAAGUAUCCAUGUUAACAUCUAUGGCUUGAAUAAUACACAAAACAGAAACUACAGAAGGGUUCCACCCGAGACAUACUCGGUGCAGGCCAACGCAACCAAACCCAACAUCGCAAAUCUACCGUUCCACAUCUCAGCAUCAGAUGUCAUUACGCCAUCUGACUUGGACUCCGCGCUGACCCCUUUGAAUAGUGGGAUCAAAGACGCGACAGAGAGAAGAAUACUUGUUCCGACGAACCACGAGACUCCACCGUUAGAUAUCUGAGAGAAAAGGUCUUGGCCCUUGGACAGUUCCACUGCCAUUGCAGCGACAAAGCCUAUCAUGGCAAGCCUGCCAUUGAUCCUCUCUGGUGCGGGUCCGCUAAAUGCCAACACAUCAGUGAAUUUUGUGCUGACCUGUUAAUCAUCAUCACGCGUGCGUUUACAUUAGAAGUGUAAGCAUAAAUGCAAUAAAAAAGUCCAUGCUCUACUUAAAUUGUUAAAAUUAAACAUUUCCGAAAUAACUCAUGCCGUAUAAUUAAUCCUGUACCUUUGGCUUAGGAGGAGGACUUGGCUCUGCUGACAUAUUCUGGUCAUCCUGCAAAUUGAAUCAAAUGUUAACACAAUCCUAUGAACCAUCACCUAAACUACACACAAAGGAAGUCGAAAUAGAAUCCAAACUCACCAGCUCGGCCUUGCACUGCACCCGUUUGCUAGCACUGCCACGUAGUGGCACAUACGUAGCAGAAAACAAGUUGCUCACUCGAGACCGGUUUUUCACCAGACUACUGGCUACUGGAGAAGCAAGGACGGUCUGCAUUACUGUUGACGUGGCCAUCACUUAGAACAAUGUUUAUCACUCGAUAUGUGAUUAAGAAACUUAAUCAAUAUCUAAACUGUGAAAGCUAUUCUAAUGCUAGAGGCAACGUUCAGUAAGCGAUAUCACUACCAGUGAGUUGAAGCUCGAGCUAUUUGCUUUGUAUCUGAUAGUGGUUUGGUAGGCUGUUAUAUAGCCGAUGGGGCAAGAGAGGAGAGGGCAUUUUGCUUCCACGUCAUCCAUAUCUAAUGAAAAGGCCGAUUGGAUCACGUGGCUUCGGCUGUCUUCACAUGGUCAAGUGGGUUACGUGGACUCCUCACAGUCACUAGUGGAUCCCCACCCCAUUUAAGAAGCUGAGGCCAAUGUUGUUCUAGGUUUUUCAGCUGAGCAGCGACCACGGCAUAGUAACCGAACUGGACUCAGCCACGAUUUUACCGCAUUAAUUUGACACGUUGAAUCACAUAACCUGACAAACGAAUAUUAGUAUAUACUAAAAAACUUUUGAUGUUUUCUCCAGGGAGGUAUUCUUAUAAAUUUUAUAAUUACUAAAACUUAUUUGAUUAUUAAUUUUAGUGUUUUAAAAGAUUGUUGAAGAUGCAUGUAAACUGACGGGACAUUGAUGAUUAUCAAGAUAAAAAAUUUAUGAUGCUUAUGAGUUUUUUCUUCUUUUUAUAUUUGUAUUUUAUGUAAUAAAUACUCCAUAAUUAAAUUUUUUAGUUUUAUAAAAUUUUAAGCAAAAGUAAGUGUGUGAUUUAUAGAACAAUGCAAAUAUUUUAUGUAAAAGUAUUUAUUAAAGAGAAAAUUAUCCAAAGUAUCAUAUAGUUUACUUAAUUUUACAUUUUGCUUUAAUUAUUUUAUGAAUUACUGAAAUUAUUCUUGAUCAACCAAAAAUUUUAAAUCGUUUGAAAUGAUCAAAUUAACCUCUUUGUGUUGUAAUCUCUUGAAAAUUUGUUUCUUGUUGUGUGCUAUUAUAACUAUGGUAAAAAGAUGUCGUAGAUCAAGACAUGGUCAAAGGAGUAAGGAGGAUCCUUCUUAGGAGAGAAACAUCGAGAAGCUUGUCAUAAAGGACAUUCAAAGGUAAACACAAAGUUGACUCAUGGGUUAGAGGAUAAGGAUUUAUAAAACCAAAAUUAAAAGAGUGAUCAUGUGUCCCUAGCCAAUACUGAAAACCAAAGACAUGAUCAUGAAAUAUAACCUCUUGAUUAGGAAGAGAUCAACUUUAGGAAUUUUUGGUUUCGCGUUAAAAUCCAUGAAUUCGGAGAAACUUUAUAAGUAAAGGAUUUCAUAGAAUAGAUAAAUAGGGUAAAAUGAAUUUUUUAGUAUAAAGAGGUUCUCGAAUAUAUGUGAGGGAAGUGUUGAUUGUGAUUAGAAUAAAAGGUAGAGUUUCUACUUAGUGAGAUCAGUUAAAAGGGAAAAGAGAGAGACAAGAAAAGCUGAGAAUAAUGAUUUAGAAAAGAUGAAGAAGAAACUAAGAGAACACUUUCUUCCAUUUGGCUAUGCCCAAACCCUGUACUUAAGGUUUCACAUGUUAAAAUAAAUAGACAUUAGGUCAUGGUUUUGGUUUUGUUUUCGGGAUUUGUUGUUAUAGUUGUGGUGAGUUAAGGUAUCAAGCUAGCUAAUGAGAAUGCAUUAAAAAACUAGAAAGUUACAUAGGAAAAAAUAUGUUGAUAGAGGAACUUGCAAAUAACAUGGAUGAUCUUAUUUAAAAUAACUCUGACAACAAUGAAGAGACUUUAAAUGGGAAUAGUAGUACUAUACUAGUUGUCUGAAAAAUCAUUUUGUCACCCGAUGGUGAUUAAGGAUAGAAUUGGUUGUGUUCUAAAAUCUUCCAAAUAAUAUGUACUGUUAACAACAAGAUAUGCAAUCUAAUCAUCGUCGGUGGUAGUUAUGAGAAUAUAGAGUUAGUUGAAGUGUUAGAAAAAUUACAGCUUAACAUAGAAAAACUCUUCAUCCCUUACAAACUAAUGUCGCGCCCCCCCCCCCAAAAAAAAUAUUCAAAUACACAUCCAUUGCGGGUUCGACUGGCGAAAAUUUGUUUAUUUUUAUUUUUAUUUGAUUCUUUGGAGUCGCCACCUAGUAUUUUGGUCACUAGGAACCUAACUGGUCUCAGAGAUCGGGUACGGAGACUGGUUGCGUAAAGGGAAGGUAUUAGCACCCCAAAUACGCCUUACCUAAGGUAAGCUGCAUUGUUUUAAAUGUCUGAUAAAAAAAAAACUAAAGUGUUAUUGUGUUUUUCUAGUUGUUGGUCUGUCUAUGGUUCAAGAAAAAUCCCCCUCAGUAAGGAGGUCUUUAUCUUAUCGGGUAAAAAUCCUAACCGUUCUAACGUCCAUACCAAAAUUUUACUAAUAAUAUUUAGGAAUACGUUUUACGUAUAAAUUCGUAAUCCCAAAUAUUAAAAGAAAACAAAAAGAAUGUUUUAGAAUUUUUGAAAUAUUGGCCUAGUUCUCAUGGCUUGAAUAAAUUGGUUAUUAAAGCCAAAAUGCAUGUUAAUACAUAUAUUGUUUUUUUGAAAAAAAAAAAUAAUUUGUUGUAUGAAAAUAUGAUGUUAUAAUAUUUAUGUAUAUAUAUUGGAGAGACUAGGCCGUAUUUAAAAACAAAAACAAUUUUUGAAAAAUAUUAUUUUGUUAUGCUUUGACGAAAAUCAUAAUGGGUAUAUUUUAAAAAUACUGAGCUUGUAUCCUUACGGUAUAAAAAUACAACCCAAUAUUAAUCUAUUUUGAUAAAAUAUGCAGAAAAAUCAACAACAGUUUUUAGGAAAUUUUUAGAAAAUUUUUUGAAAAGCAAAACAUUUUUUAUUCUGAAAAUCUUUGAUGUUUUGACGAAAAAACCGGGUAUUUUAAUACUGGUUUUGUAUCUUUACAAAAAAAAAUACAAACCAGAAGUAAAACAUUUUUGAAAAAAUAUGCAGAAAAAAUCAACAAUAUUUUUUUUUAGAUUUUUUUUUUUUUGUUUUUUAUACAUUAAAUACAUUUUUUAUAUAUUAUAUUAUAUAUUUUAUAUAUUAAAAGGGCUGGGCCGGCCCAAACUAAACUGGGCCGGACCCAGCCCAACAGUCGUUGGGCCGAACUCGGCCCAACAGGUACUGGGCCGAACUCGGCCCAGGUACUGGGAACUCGGCCCAAAUAAUUAACCUCGGUCUGGGCCGGACCCGGCCCAGACCGCCGGACUGGGCCAGAUCUCUCUGGCCCGGUCCACAUAGUUCUGGGCCAGACAAAGUCUGGCCCAGAGGAAAUAAAAAACGCAGCGGGGGGGAUUAUUUCCCCCCCGUCCCCAAGAACGAUGCAGGAAGAAAAAAAAAAAAAAAAAUGUGCAGGGGGAGGGACGCGUACCUGGCACGGCGGAGACGGCGGCUUGCUGGCGGUGCUGCUGCGGAGACGGUGGCAGCUUGGCUUACGGACGGCGGGUCAGGCGGUUUUCUCUCUCUCUCCUCCCUUCGGGUCUCUCUCUCUCUUUUUCUUCUUCUCUCCUCUCGGCCUCUCUCUAUUUAUAAGCAAAAAGGAAACGGUUAGUGCGCCUUCAAUCACGCAACGGCUGGUCGGCCACUCUUGCUUUCGGUGGUGGUGGUGGGGCGAGGAGAGAGAGAGAGGCGGGAAGUUUUGAAAAAAAGAAAAAAUGGUUUCGUCUCUGUUUCCGCGGGGGGAAAGGAAGAAGACGAACAGUGUCGUUCAAAACGACACCGUUCUGUCUUCUUCUUUUUUUUUUUUUUUUUAUUAUAUAUAUAUAUGAAACGGCGUCGUUUUGGAUAAAACGCGCCGUUUCAUUUAAACGGGUCAAACUUCAAAACAGUCCUCCAAAUCGGUCCCUGCCCCUCUUGUUGGCCGCCUUUUUCAUUUUGGUCCUUGGCAUCUGAUUUAUGCAAUUUAGCCCUCAAUUGAUUAAUAAACUUUCAAUUUCUUCAAUUAGGCCCCUGAAACGAAAAAUUAGCAGCCCCUCCAUUUACGCGCCUCUUCCAAUUUGGUCCCUGGUUUCGGAUUUUCACAAUUAAGUCCCUAAUUGGCCCUUAAACUUCAAUUUUUAUGCAAUUGAGCCCUGAUUUGACCCAAUAAAUUCCUAAAAAAAUAUUUUGGCCCCAGAACUUAAAUUUCUCCAAAUUAAAGCCCAAAUUGACUUAAAAAUUAAUUUUUCUUGCAAUCAAAUCUUCUAUAAAUUCAAAUAAAAAUCCGAUUAAGUCCAUAAAAAUCCAAUUAAGCCCAUAAAAAUCCAAUUAAGCCCAUAAAAAUCCAAAUUUGGGCUUUUCUCCCUAAAAUUCCAAUUUUUCUUCUCAAUAGGGCUUUCAUCCUUCAAGAAUAUACUGUCAAAAAUUCAAUCCUUGUAUUUUUAAAGUCCUUGACCAAUUUUCUGACUGUUUUCCGGGCGCUUCUGCCUCCGGUUAUUUUUCUAACCUCUUUUGGCUAUUUAUUUUAUUUUUUAGGGGGACCCAAAAAUGGGUUACAACAACUAAAAUAGCUAAAUGAAAACAACAAGGUUGUCGCACGUCACCCUCGCGCGGCUUCCGAUGGCGAUUUUUCUCGUUAUGCGUUUUUGCUUGAUUCAGUUCUUUAGAGUCGUCACCUAGUAUUUUGGUCACUAGGAACCCUAACUGGUCUUUCAGAGAUUCUAAGGCAAGGAACUGGUUGCGUAAAGAGAAGGUAUUAGCAUCCCUAAUACGCUCUACCUAAGGUAAGCUGCAUGGUGUUUGGUUUAUCUUAUAAUUGCUAUGGUGUUGGUGUUUUCUAAUCCCAUCAGUUUUUCUAUGAUAGGUUUCCUAUGAUGAACAAACUUGGACUCAAAGUCUAAAAAAAAAAAGAACCCUUGGUCAAUGUGGAUCACACCUUUAGAUAUGUCUACAAAGUACCAAGGAGAACCAAUGCAGAUCUCUUGAAAUCUGUGUUUGAUUCAAGUUAAAUUUAUUAAGAUAGAAAUCCAAGGAGAUUUCAUGUGCUGUAAAAGCUCAUCUUUCCCUUAGUAUUUCAAGAGUUUGCGACUCGUAAAUCGCAAGAAUGAAGGACAAAUAUUUAGAAAUCUAAGGAAAUUCAAAGCGCUUUAAAAGCCUCCUUUUGCCUUAGUAUUUCAUACUUUCACGGCUCGUAAACCGUGGAGUCAAAAUUUAAAAUUUUGAAAUGUCCUCAAUUAUAAUCAAGGCUUCUCUCAAAGAUGUAUGCGGAUUUAUUACUCCCAAUAAUAUUUUGGAUAUUCAUCAUUUAAAGAUUUCUUUAUCCAAAUAUUAGCGGUGAAUAAUAAAUGAAUUCCCUCCAAAAUAAGAUUUUUAUAGUUUUUGGAAUAUUGGCCAAUACCCUUUGGAGUUUUACAAACAUGUUGUAAAAUCCAGAAAUACAAGAAAACAAAUUUUUUGAUGUUUAAGAAAUCCAUGCAAAAACACAUUCUUAAAACUUCCAAUAUUUUUUGUAUAUAAAAAAAUAUUCAAAACAUGUUAGGAUAUUGGCCGUAUGCAACAAAAAAAAAAACAUUUUUUAUAUUUUCUUUGCAAAAUACACAUAGUUAAUCGCAAUUAAAAUCCAAAAACCACAUAUUAAUCAAAUUCUUAAGGCUUUAAUAAAUCAACUAUUAAAUCCCAGAAUAUAUAUAGAAACAUGUUUUUAUAUUUUCCCGAGAAAUACAACAUAAUUUUAUUUGUCCUUCAGAUACCAUAUGUCAAAUUAGAAACUUAAUUCAUUUUUUUGUCUUUUAUUGAUUUUUAUCAUUCAAAUAACAUAAAUAAAAAUACAAACACACACACAUUUUUUAUUAUUAUUUUUCUUAUACAUAUUUUACGUGUAAAACAAAUAACAAAAUUUCAAAAAAAUCAAAUACAAUUUAAUUAUUACCAAAUAAACCCCAAAAACUCCAGGAAUUGGUGGGAACAUCUUCUAGGAUCCGCCGGAAUAGUGACGGAAGGUUUCUGGGCUCGGGAACAGUGGCGCACGUUUCUCCACUAGCGGAUCCCAGAAAAAUAAUGUUAACAUAUAAGCUACUGAAAUUAUAAGUUAUAUAGAUGAUUGAAAAUUGAUCUUAUAUAAUUUGCUACUGAAAUUACAUUGAUUCAAGUAUCCAUGUUAACAUAUAAGCUUGAAUAAUACACAAAAACAGGAACUACAGAAGCGUUCUACCCGAGACAAACUCGGUGAAGGCCAGCGCAACCAAACCCAACAUCGCAAAUCUACCGUUCCACAUCUCAGCAUCAGAUGUCAUGACGCCCUCUGACUUGGAUUCCACGCUGACCCCUUUGAAUAGUGGGAUCAAAGACGCGACAGAGAGAAGAAUACUUGUUCCGACGAACCACGAGACUCCACCGUUAGAUAUCUGAGAGAAAAGGUCUUGGCCCUUGGACAGUUCCACUGCCAUUGCAGCGACAAAGCCUAUCAUGGCAAGCCUGCCAUUGAUCCUCUCUGGUGCGGGUCCGCUAAAUGCCAACACAUCAGCGAAUUUUGUGCUGACCUGUUAAUCAUCAUCACGCGUGCGUUUACAUUAGAAGUGUAAGCAUAAAUGCAAUCAAAAAGUCCUUGCUCUAAUUAAAUUGUUAAAAUUAAACAUUUCCGAAAUAACUCAUGACAUAUAAUUAGUCCUGUACCUUUGGCUUAG
rnacentral:lncRNA from 1 species